rnacentral:tRNA from 1 species
GUUAGCUCAGUUGGUAGAGCAGUUGACUUUUAAUCAAUUGGUCGCAGGUUCGAAUCCCGCACGACCCA